rnacentral:rRNA from 2 species
CAUAGGUUUGGUCCCAGCCUUCCUGUUAACUCUCAACAGACUUACACAUGCAAGCAUCCACGCCCCGGUGAGUAACGCCCUCCAAAUCAAUAAGACCAAGAGGAGCAGGUAUCAAGCACACAUCUUGUAGCUUACAACGCCUUGCUUAACCACACCCCUACGGGAGACAGCAGUGACAAAAAUUAAGCCAUAAACGAAAGUUUGACUAAGCCAUGUUGACCAGGGUUGGUAAAUCUCGUGCCAGCCACCGCGGUCAUACGAUUAACCCAAGCUAACAGGAAUACGGCGUAAAACGUGUUAAAGCACUACAUCAAAUAGAGUUAAAUUCUAAUUAAACUGUAAAAAGCCAUAAUUACAACAAAAAUAGAUGACGAAAGUAACCCUACUGCAGCUGAUACACUAUAGCUAAGACCCAAACUGGGAUUAGAUACCCCACUAUGCUUAGCCCUAAACACAAAUAAUUACAGAAACAAAAUUAUUCGCCAGAGUACUACCGGCAACAGCCCGAAACUCAAAGGACUUGGCGGUGCUUUAUACCCUUCUAGAGGAGCCUGUUCUAUAAUCGAUAA